rnacentral:rRNA from 1 species
GAUGAACGCUGGCGGCGUGCUUAACACAUGCAAGUCGAACGAAGCACUUUAUUUGAUUUCCUUCGGGACUGAUUAUUUUGUGACUGAGUGGCGGACGGGUGAGUAACGCGUGAGUAACCUGCCUUGUACAGGGGGAUAACAGUUGGAAACGGCUGCUAAUACCGCAUAAGCGCACGGCAUCGCAUGAUGCAGUGUGAAAAACUCCGGUGGUAUAAGAUGGACCCGCGUUGGAUUAGCUAGUUGGUGAGGUAACGGCCCACCAAGGCGACGAUCCAUAGCCGACCUGAGAGGGUGACCGGCCACAUUGGGACUGAGACACGGCCCAAACUCCUACGGGAGGCAGCAGUGGGGAAUAUUGCACAAUGGGCGAAAGCCUGAUGCAGCGACGCCGCGUGAGCGAAGAAGUAUUUCGGUAUGUAAAGCUCUAUCAGCAGGGAAGAUAAUGACGGUACCUGACUAAGAAGCACCGGCUAAAUACGUG